ACGGGUGAGUAACACGUAGGCAACCUGCCUGCAAGACGGGGAUAACUACCGGAAACGGUAGCUAAUACCGGAUACACAAUUUUCUCGCAUGAGAGAAUUGGGAAAGACGGAGCAAUCUGUCACUUGCAGAUGGGCCUGCGGCGCAUUAGCUAGUUGGUGAGGUAACGGCUCACCAAGGCGACGAUGCGUAGCCGACCUGAGAGGGUGAACGGCCACACUGGGACUGAGACACGGCCCAGACUCCUACGGGAGGCAGCAGUAGGGAAUCUUCCGCAAUGGACGAAAGUCUGACGGAGCAACGCCGCGUGAGUGAUGAAGGUUUUCGGAUCGUAAAGCUCUGUUGCCAGGGAAGAACGUCGGGUAGAGUAACUGCUACCCGAGUGACGGUACCUGAGAAGAAAGCCCCGGCUAACUACGUGCCAGCAGCCGCGGUAAUACGUAGGGGCAAGCGUUGUCCGGAAUUAUUGGGCGUAAAGCGCGCGCAGGCGGCUAUUUAAGUCUGGUGUUUAAUCCCGGAGCUCAACUCCGGAUCGCAUUGGAAACUGGGUAGCUUGAGUGCAGAAGAGGAAAGUGGAAUUCCACG
rnacentral:rRNA from 1 species